GCGUGUGGUGAGAACUCGCCAAAUCACCUUUCAGGUUCUGCUGCCAAUAGGUGCAGCUCCUUAUCCUUUUUGAUUUAUUGGAUGCAAGGCAUUUUCUAUAGCUUCCUUUACCCCUUGUUGGUACAUGUUCUCCUGCUGCACACACCCACAACUGUGGCAUUCACUGGGCUUGCAAAGCAUUUGGGUUUUUUGUUUUUUGUUUUAACCCUGAGAUGUAUUUGCUCUGCCAGUGAUUCACUCGGAUUAAUAUGAAAAGCUGCACUGUGAAGAUCUUUUUUACUGUCAUUCUUCUCCUGUGAGUGGAACAGAAGGCUGUGGGUGAUAUUCUCCCCUGUGCAGAGACCUAGCAGAAAUCCCAUAGUUAAACUUUCAGCACCUGGGUGGGAAGUAAAUGAUGGACAGGCCUUGUGCUGGGCUUCUGCGUGGGGUUAUUUUCCACACUGGGGUUAAGGAGGAGCUACAUUUUUUUGAAGCAAAUAGUGGCGUUCAUAAAUUAAGCUACUCACAAAAAAUAGCUGAGAUUCCAAGUGGGUACAGGUCAUUUGUGGGUGCAGCACAGCACGUGUAGAGCAGUAUAAUGCUCGUAUGGGUCACGCAUUAUACCAAGUAUGCUAGACCAAAUCUACAAAGUGCCUCCCCUACCAAGCAGUGUCAUACUGCUGUGCUAGGGGAUUCCCAGUUUGCAUGCCAGCAGCAGCCAGUUUAAAAGGUGCUUUGUUAUGUUGAUGCAUGCUCUGUUUCUCCCUGAUCCGUCCCCUCUACCUCCAAAUGUAGCAUCCGUGCUGGGUUUUGACAUUGCCAUCCAGUUUCAGGCUCAUGUUUUGAUGAGGAACAUAAAUAUGUGAUAACUGCUCUAGGACAAACCAGUUGGGUGAUCCUGUUUGGGAUGUAUUGUGGAAGUGGUCAGCAUUUUGUACAUCAGAGGAAAACCAAAUAUACUGACUGACUGGGAGAAAAUCCUUCUGCCUUAUCUUUUAGCCUGGCUGUGAAAGAUGAACCUGCUUCAUCCCUUUCUUUAUGAGUAACCCCAUGACUGUUGUUACUAGUCUGAAAUGAUUUUUAAAUCAUUUUUUUUAAAGCUCCAGCUCUGAACUCUCUGGCUUCCAGAGGCCCUGAAAUUCAGAGGCUCAUUAGAGGCUGAAUGGAGAAGCAUUUUCACCUGAUAUGGACUCACCUGCUACUAAUUUUAUCUGGUAACCUUUUGUGCCCUUCCCUUGCCUCUGAAUGCCAGAGUGAUUUGGAAGGGAGAAAUGUCAUCUGUCACUAGAUUGUACCUUCUUCCAUACUAAUUACCUAAUUCAUCUCUUUUUCGGGCUUAAUGACCCUAGUUGCUGUGACCACCCCUGCAUCUCAAAUCAUCAUUUUUAUCUGUCUCUGGAGAGGAAGAAGAUUUCUGUGGGUAGGCUCAGAAUUGGGAAGCCAGAGACUUGUCCAUUUGUACCCUCAGCUCUGAUGCAAGUUUUCUAAAUUGUCUUAGGACUGGUGAAUUCACUGCUGGAAGAAAAUGCCAUGUUGGCAAAUUUGGUGAAUGAUGACAUGGUUUCAUGCUAACACCAUAGUUCUUUUAAUAAGCAUAUUAAAAAGCAUGUUCAAGUACAAAUGCACAAAUCAAGGCUAUAUAACUUCAAUGGGAAUCUUUUGCUUGACUUCAGCAGGCUUUGGCUCAAGGUCUUACAUUGUACUCUUACAGAGUGGGCUUAGAUUUAUUGUAUAUGGCCCCACUGAUCUCCUGGUGGGAUUGCGUAUUAACCUCUUGCAUGUUACAAGAAGCCCAUUAUUUUCUUCAGCUCCAUGUGUUCUUUUUUUUUCAGCUGGAUCAUUCUGCCUGCAGGAGGAGAAGAAAGCUUUCUCAUGCUUGCACAGGAGGGAAUGUCUCUUUGAUGAUAAAACCAGCUGCCUUCCUCGGGGUCUGCAGGCUGUUCGCAUUGGAAACGCCAGUGAAAGCUCUGGAUGUAUCCUGCAGGUAUUACUUCACUAGAACACUGGAUUCUUAGCAGGCAGACAGUCAUUUUUAGAAAGUGGAGGUGCCUCAGUUUACAUGCUUCUUGGGCUACACCCCAAACGGGUGUAAGCUUACUCCAACUGAAUAGAGCAGAUUUAUACUCGCUGAGGAUAAUCGGCUUUUUUAAACAUCUCUCAAGCAUUUUUUAAAGCAUCUAUGUACUUACUACACUCUCUGGAAACAGUGCACACUUAAAUGACCUUUGAGUCUUAUUGUUCAUCAAAGUCUGUGAAAAUUAUGCAGUUGAGAGAGUUGUGUGGUUCAGGCCUGAUUUUGUUGUUGUUGGUGUUCUCAUUUACACUAGUAUAUAGCCAUGGGCCAGCUAUUCAGCUGUCAUGAAGCAAAGUAUCUGUAUGGAAGUCAGCUGGACUGUGCCAAUUUAUGCUGGAAAAGGUCUAACACAUGGGUUUAAUAUGUACAGAAUUCAAAUAAAUUGGUAUUC